UCCUCCAUGGCGCAAUUGGCUAGCGCGUCUGACUGUUAUGAUUCAUGGCAUCAGGAGGUUCGUGGUUCGAGCCCACGUGGGGGAG